GAUGAACGCUAGCGGCAGGCUUAAUACAUGCAAGUUGAGGGGCAGCAUGAUAUACGCGAGUAUAUUGAUGGCGACCGGCGGACGGGUGAGUAAUAGGUAGGAGACCUACCUCAUACAGGGGGAUAGCAUAGAGAAAUCUGUGGUAAUACCCCAUGAGGUUAUAUGAAUAGAGGCAUAUAAUCAAAGCAUAAGCGAUUAUGCGGUAUGAGAGGGGCCUACUGACCAUUAGCUAGUUGGUGAGGUAAGGGCUCACCAAGGCGAAGAUGGUUAGGGGUUUUGAGAGAGAGACCCCCCACAUUGGAACUGAGAGACGGUCCAGACUCCUACGGGAGGCAGCAGUAGGGAAUAUUGGGCAAUGGGCGAAAGCCUGACCCAGCCAUGCCGCGUGAAGGAAGACGGCCUUAUGGGUUGUAAACUUCUUUACUACGCGAAUAGAGGUUAGUACGAGAUACUAAUAGGAAGGUAGUAGUAGUAAAAAGCAACCGGCUAACUCCGUGCC
rnacentral:rRNA from 1 species